rnacentral:rRNA from 1 species
UAUCCGGAUUUAUUGGGUUUAAAGGGUGCGUAGGCGGCAAGGUAAGUCAGCGGUGAAAGACCAGGGCUCAACUCUGGAAGUGCCGUUGAUACUGUCUGGCUAGAAUGAUUCCGCCGUGGGAGGAAUGAGUAGUGUAGCGGUGAAAUGCAUAGAUAUUACUCAGAACACCGAUUGCGAAGGCAUCUCACGAGGGGUUCAUUGACGCUGAGGCACGAAAGCGUGGGGAUCGAACAGGAUUAGAUACCCUGGUAGUCCACGCAGUAAACGAUGAUGGCUAACUGUCGGGCCUAUUGGGUUCGGCGGCCAAGCGAAAGCGAUAAGCCAUCCACCUGGGGAGUACGACCGCAAGGUUGAAACUCAAAGGAAUUGACGGGGGCCCGCACAAGCGGAGGAACAUGUGGUUUAAUUCGAUGAUACGCGAGGAACCUUACCCAGGCUCGAACGGCAUCUGAAUUGUCCAGAGAUGGACAAGUCUUCGGACAGAUGUCGAGGUGCUGCAUGGUUGUCGUCAGCUCGUGCCGUGAGGUGUCGGCUUAAGUGCCAUAACGAGCGCAACCCUUGCCGUCAGUUGCCAUCAGGUGAAGCUGGGGACUCUGGCGGGACUGCCACCGCAAGGUGUGAGGAAGGGGGGGAUGACGUCAAAUCAGCACGGCCCUUACGUCUGGGGCGACACACGUGUUACAAUGGCGGCUACAGAGGGAAGCCACCCCGCGAGGGGGCGCGGAUCUGAAAAGGCCGUCUCAGUUCGGACUGGAGUCUGCAACCCGACUCCACGAAGC